rnacentral:rRNA from 1 species
GAUGAACGCUGGCGGCGUGCCUAAUACAUGCAAGUCGAGCGAACGGACGAGAAGCUUGCUUCUCUGAUGUUAGCGGCGGACGGGUGAGUAACACGUGGAUAACCUACCUAUAAGACUGGGAUAACUUCGGGAAACCGGAGCUAAUACCGGAUGAUAUUUUGAACCGCAUGGUUCAAAAGUGAAAGACGGUCUUGCUGUCACUUAUAGAUGGAUCCGCGCUGCAUUAGCUAGUUGGUAAGGUAACGGCUUACCAAGGCAACGAUGCAUAGCCGACCUGAGAGGGUGAUCGGCCACACGGGAACUGGGACACGGUCCAGACUCCUACGGGAGGCAGCAGUAGGGAAUCUUCCGCAAUGGGCGAAAGCCUGACGGAGCAACGCCGCGUGAGUGAUGAAGGUCUUCGGAUCGUAAAACUCUGUUAUUAGGGAAGAACAUAUGUGUAAGUAACUGUGCACAUCUUGACGGUACCUAAGCAGAAAGCCACGGCUAACUACGU